CCAGACCCCUUUGAAAAUAGUGAUGUUGCGUGGAAGUGUUUCUGAAUAACCCCCUCUAAAUGGUGUUGCUCUGUGUGUCUCACUACCGCCUUACAGUUAGUGCCUCUAUAUCCCUUAGUUCGCCUGUGUCUCGUGCCUUCACUGGUCACAAGGACAUUUGGACGUCCCUCACGCUCAGAUGUAAGCAAGUCUGUUUCUUCAGUCUGGCAGAGAAGCCUUGGAGAAAAUAAUAAGUAAAAAAAAUAAAUAAAUAAAUGAAUGAAUGAAAAAAGUAAUGUAAAGAUAAUGUUUUGUAUGGGGUGAGGUCACUGUGUUUUGAGUUGCGAGAUUACAGGGUUUUGAGUUGCGAGAUUACAGGGUUUUGAGUUGUAAAGUUUAGCUACAGAGCCUUUUGAGUUGUGAGUUUACAGGGUUUUGAGUUGUAAAGUUUAGCUACAGGGUUUUUGAGUUGCGAGUUUACAGGGUUUUGAGUUGUAAAGUUUAGCUACAGGUCAAGUUACUCAUAGUGAUAGCAAAAACAUCAAGAAUACUAAAAGGACCCAAAAUAUUUAAAUAACACGUUUGCUUACACUGCCCCAAGAGACCCUGAAGUGUGAGCCAGACUGACCAUGUAGCCUUGCAGUGAUUGAAGAGACAGACUAACUUACAUGAGAGGGGGAUAUAAUACUCCUUCUUAAAUAAACUGCUCAAUUGACUGGCAGCAUAAAACACAUACUGGAAAGCUCUCAGCACGCACACGCACACACGCACACGCACACACACACACACACACACACACACACACACACACACACACACACACACACACACACACACACACACACACACUGUCUUUAUCGGUAUCUGUGCUAAGAGCUUCCCACAUCCCACGUAAACUCAACGUAAAACCAAUAAAAUGAACCCUGAACCACAAUUUGCCCACCCCUUAGUGAGACAGACGCCCUGAAAGUAUAGGUGAGAUAUAUUGACAAGCACAUCGCAGCAAGAACAAACCAGAACAGAUACAGAACACAGCACAUAACCGUUCAGACAUUCAGACAAGUUGGAGGAGAAGGUUAAUAGAAAUACUGGUGCUGGGAGAAGGAACUCACCUCCCUGCACCUGUUUUUCUUCUUUUUCUUUUUUUUUUUCUUUUUUCCAACCUUCUCCUCCACAGUCCAUUAAAGUAAGUUAGUCUAACACUGUACAGUUUCCCUUAACACCUAGUCACCUACACCUAAGUAUGUCUAAUGUGUUCAUGGUAAGUACAACACAUUAACACAACACUAACACAACAUUGAGAUAUUAAUGAUAACACCAACACAGGCUCCAUGCGAAGUUUUUUUUCUUUAUUAUUUUUUUUUUCUUUCCAUUUGUGUUUCGUUUUUUGACUCGUUUGAUUAAAAUGUUACGUAACUAAAUUUUCUUAAAAGUGACGAACUUGAGUGAAAUUUAAAUAAACGUGAUGUGGUUUAUUUGUGAAGAUAAUUGGUAUGUAUUUUCUUUUUCGUUUUUCCUCUUUUGUAACUAAGCUUUUUUUUUUUUUUCAAGGGUUAUCGUUUUUUGUACUUUUUUGUUUUGAUUUUGGAAACUUUACCCGGGAAUGUUAUACUGAAAAUCACUUUUUUUUCAUUUAUUUUCAUUUUUAUCUAUAUUUUUUUCAGUUACCAAUUUUGUGUUUUCAGUAUUUCAUUCACGGCCCCAAAAAGAUAAAAAAAAAAAACACCCAAAAAAUAAACAAAAAUAAACACAGCAUUAACUUCACAAUUCACAAAGAACCUGACUAUAAAUAUAACGAAAAUUAUUAACCAAAGAACACACUAACAUCAAUCUUUAACUCGUAGAAGUAGUCACCACCACUAACACUUACGGGGUCUCACUUGUUACUAACCUUGGGACACCAUCACAACACCACUAACUUUUAAUCCUCGGGCACACACCACUAACCAGGCACAGCGGUGGUAGGCAGUCAAGAUUCCCACUCUCUCUUCCCCUGUUCUCGUUUUCUCUCAGUCUUUGCGUCGUGUACUGAAAUAUUUUUGGUCCGUCUAUCUUAGCUGGGGUCAAAACUUGCAUCACUUCAACUUGCAUCACUUCAACUAGAGCCUUUAAAAACCCGUGUCACGUCAACUAGAGUUACUGGAACAUUUUGAACCAUAAAUGCUCUCUUAGAAAUCAGCUUCACUUCAACCAGAACCUUUGAAAACACGUGUCACUUCAAUUAGAGUCUUUGGAACCGUAAAACCACCCUUAAAAACCCUGUCACUUCAACUAGAGCCUUUGAAAACACGUGUCACUUCAACUAGAGUCUUUGGAACCGUAAAAACGCCUUUAAAAACCCUGUCACUUCAACCAGAGCAUUUUUUGAAAACACGUGUCACUUCAACUAGAACUUUGAAAGAUCUUGUCACUUCAACUAGACCCUUUGGAACCAUAGCAACAGCCUUGAAAAUCCGUGUCACUUCAACCAGAGCCUUGGGAAAGUAGUGAAGUGUUUAGGAGUGUGGCACAGUUUAUGAGCGGAGGAAAGACUGAGAUGGACAAACACACAGGAAGAGACGAAGGUUACUCUCACCAACCAUCGCUGUGCCGCUAACUUGAAUGAGGAACUUAAUUAAACACACACACACUGAUUAUUAAGGUAAAAAUUUUCGAUUGGCUCCACUUAUGACCACAAAAAGAAAUCCUAUUGGUGGAAAUUGAUGUUGCGAGGCUUGAAAGUGAAGCCGCGACAUGAGAAGUAAGUGUGUUUCAAUGGAUUUGAGACACACUUGAGAUGAAUUGGCUGUUUUAUGAAGUGAUAUGCUUAAAUUUUGUUUUCGGACAUAUCCAAAAUCACACACACACACACACACACACACACACACACACACACACACACACACACACACACACACACACACACACA
rnacentral:lncRNA from 1 species